rnacentral:lncRNA from 1 species
CAGGACCCAGAAGGCUCAGGACCUUUACGGAUAGGGAGGACCCCGCAGGGGGGAGCGGGGGAGCCCCACGCCCGGCGUCCUCCGGGUGCGAGGGUCUCGGGGAGUCCGAGCCCGGGCCCACGGCCUCUGUCCCGCGGCCACUACCUGCUGGGGGUCCCGGGCCUGGGCCACGCCGGGCUGCCCUCGGGGACUUGCUGCGGCCGUUGAGGGGUCUCCGCGCGCCGCGCAGACUCGCCUCCCAACCCGAGGGCCCGGGCGGCCGCCGCCCAGAGCGUCCAGCGGCAGCGUCUUGCUCUCGAAGGCGUCCUCCACGCAGCGGAACACGCAGCCAAGCUUGGGCCGGGCCAGAGGCCUCGCGGGCUCCUGAGGCUGCCGCGCGGUCACGGCAGGAGCGGGCGACAGAAUCCGGUCUCGGAGCCUCCUGUAGCGAGGUCUGCGCGGCAGGUGCACUGGGCGGACCUGGAGGCCGCGCCCUCCCCCCCCGCCUCCUGCCGCCCGGCAGCGCUGCGCGGAGCUGGCUCUGUCCACGUAGCGGGUGCUGAACGCCCCAUUCUGGCCCCUGGGUGCUCGCUUAGUCCCGGCCACGCGUGGCUGCUCGCCCUCGGGACACACUGGGCGCUGGGAAGGCCGGGCGGGGAGCGCGCACCGGAGAAACCGCUGUGGGAAUCCCGGCCACAUUUCCAGGCCCCUUGGGCCGUCCCACGCCAGACAAGAAAGCCCUGACUCCGAAACCCUGGGCGAGUGUGGAGGGCGCGCGGGGGUGGGGUGUACCCGCCCACGCAAACUGCUGCUGAUCUCCCUUAAAGCCGAGUUAGAGGCUUGGGGCGAGACAGGAGUGACGGGCGAUGCUGUCACUCCAUCUGUCAUUCUACCCAGCCUGCAGCAGCUGAAUUCGAACCCAGAGACUUCAGGCCUUUGCGUUGUUACCGCAGUCCGCAUUUCAAAGCCAGAGUUUGGCCACUGAGUCACCAUGACCUCGAGUACUGGCGGGGCCCGAGCCAGCAGAGCUAGGUCCAGCAGCUUCCCACCCCUUCGUCCUCCUCUGGGCUCCCCCUCCCCUAAAUGAUUAAUGCAAUGUCUGUUACUCACCUGUGUGGGACCGUCCACGGCAAAUAUCACCAACUGUUCUUAUGCACGUGCAGAAGUUCCGUCCCUUUCCUAACUGUCUGAUCUCUUCCAUGGUUCACAUUUGACCAACAGCCACAGGAGGGAGCCUCCCAGGUGGUCGACCGGAGCCAGGUGCUGCCAGGCACCCGACUGCAGAGCUUGCCCUCCAGGUGAUCUCGCAGUAUCGGUGUUCACAAGCCCUGUAAGGCACUCGGGGUAUCCUGAAGGCUACAGAUUCUGCAAGGGCAGAGACUUUAAGGAACAGCCAUAGUCCUUCUCCAGCUCAAAAUCUGGACCAUGGGCACAAGGUAAACAACACACUGGUGUCAACAAAGGAAUCUGCUAUUUAUGUGGAUUUUUACUUUAGACAAACUAAAGUAUCUAUGUUGUUCUGUGUGUUGAACACAGAGUGUGAUGAUGUUAAUAUAAUGUAAAUGUUGAUGUAACAGUACAUUUCUGGCAACAUUUCAGGGUCCUUCCUCUUGCCUUAUUAGGGGGUGAUGCAUUCAUACAGACUUCCCCUGUUAGAAGAGCUAGCAGUAAG